UGGCUAGGAUGCAUGCAGAUGGGAAGGAGGGAUGGACGACCAGGAUGCGUGGUAGGCGGAGUAUAAAAAGGGAAGGAAAAAAAGAAAAAAAAAAGAGAAGAAAAAGGAAAUAAAAAUGGAGAAAGGGAAAGGGAAGAAGGAAACUGGUGAUAGAAGAUUCCAGAGAGAUGGAAGUCAGAGAGGGAAGGAACGAGAAGAGCGAGCGGAAGAAGGAGGAAGGCGACGGUGCGAGUUACAUAAGUGCAGAAAAAUGGAGAUCAGAAGUAUGGUGAAUUAAAU
rnacentral:lncRNA from 1 species